GCUAUUUUGGCAGAUUAGUGCAAUAAAUUUAGAAUUUAUGAAUGUAAUUUUUACAAAUAGUA
rnacentral:tRNA from 1 species